rnacentral:lncRNA from 1 species
UCUAGUCAAGCGCCAUGUCUCUUGUUCUUUGAUUAACUAUAGCUCUGGAGUUUUUGCAGAUUUUCAAAUAAAACUCAGAGAUUCCUUGUGUUGACACCGUUUUUGGACACGUAUCUUUGGCCGCGUAUCUGGAGUUAAUGAGGUGUAGAUCGACAGACAGAAAAGUGGUGACUAGUCUACAGAAGAGUUGCCGAUGAGGGUUGGUGCCGAUGAGAAAACGACAGGAUAUGGCCAAGUCCAGGAGUGGUGAUGGGUUCGUGCCGAUGACUGGUGCUGAUGGUUGCCGAUGGCUAUGAGAGGUGGUUUGCUGAUGGUCAUGGAGAAGGGCGCAGGGGUUGUCGAUCGACUCAUGGCGGUGUACCGAUCGGUUGUGGAAGAUGAUUUAAUGCUUUCCAUAGUUAUUAGAGUUUGUUUUGUAUAUGGAUUCUAUUUAAUUUAGAAUUCGAGUCCUGGUCAUGUCUGAUUGUAACCCUUUUGGGUAGGGUAUAAAUAUAAGACCCUGUAGCGAUGUAAUAGACGACAAUCAAUCAAACACAAGUUUUUACAUCUAUUCCAACAUCUACUUUUUCGACGACUUCGUCAAUUUGCAUAUUUUCCUUUUACUACGAGUUCUUUGGAAUUCUUCGAGUCAACCUCGGCGAGUUCUCGGGUUCUGCAUGAAUACCUCUUGGCCGUGACAUCCGGGCGCAUUGCUGUGGUCGGGACCAAAGUAUUCGAGUUAUCACCUUUGUGUUGACGGUCCUUAAGUACUAAAAUUAACCAUCAACUAAACAUGGAAAAGGAUCAAUAUGCACCAAACAUCUAGAAUUAGGGUCUUAUCUGACUGAAUUCCAUGAGCUUUGGUGUUUAUCUAUUUCUGCAGGGGGUUAUCAGGAAAUAUGGAGAGAAGGCCCACAUGUCAUGUGUACAAUGAGAUAAUUACGUGCCGCGCAAUUUUCCUUAAUCUAGAAGAGUCCAGAAGCCACGGGAACGAACGCGAAGACGAACGGGCUCGGGGGCAGGGCGCCCGCCCUGGGUUGGACUCCAAUCAGAACUCUUUUCGGGGACCAAGCUCCACCGACCUAAAGGAUCAAGGAUAACCGUCCAAUCAAUGUUGGUUUGAUCCAACGGCCCAAAUUCACUUGAAAGGACUAUAUAACCAAGGCCUCUCCACCCCUGGGGGAGAGAAGAGAAGAGGAGAAAUCAUUAUCAGAGGUAGCCAUCAAAGUUAGGGUUUAGAGCUUCUCUCCCACAGAGAAUUAGAAUUAGCUACUCCCUAAUCCUUCAAGUUUAUAGGUUUGAUUAGAUAGCAAUUAGAGAAGUAGAGCACUACGCUCUGGAUUCAGAUCUUCGGUAAUAAAGAUCGGUAUUAUUCAUAUCUUUCUCUAAUACUUUGUUCUAAUUGCAUUAUGUCUCUAUUUAUUAUGUUCUUAGUUUGCUCUAGUUCUAUAUUUGAUAUAGUUAUGAUUGAUAAUGAGUUUAUGUAUAAGUUUGCAAAGCGCUUAGCUCUUGACGCGAGGGAGUUAAGUGGUAGAUCACAUGUGGGCGUGGUGCUUAGAUGUUAUUUACCUGCAAAUGUAUCCUAUUGGCCAGGUCGUGUGGUAGUUCGCGAUAGUGAUAGCUUCGUUGAUUCUUAUAUAGUCCACCCUCCGUCGAUAGGAUAGGCAGAAUUUGUAUUGCGGAGUAAGUCUUACGAUGUUCUGAUUUACUUUAGCAAUGUUCCUUAUACAUGAAUGAACAGUCUUUUGUGCUAUACAUGAUCUUGUAGAUAACUAGAGUAGAUUGUGACUUAGUAGAUAGUAGAUAACUUAGAAUCCAUUCUCUAGCUAAUCCGACGUCACCUUACAUAUAUGAGGAGUAGUCUAUUUUCUGAUCGCUGUGUUAUUUACCCAUGAACUUAUAAUUCAUUAUCAUUAUCUUUAUGGUUUACCCCCUGCCAAAGUAAGUGACUGUGUGACGAGUUUCUCAUUAGUAAUCAUGUCUUGCAAGUUUAUCUCUAGUUUAUGCCUUGAUAGAUUUUGUCCUUAUUUUAAUUUCAUCCCUUUUGUUCUCUUAAGCAAAAUUAUAAAUAACGAUACCUGGAAUACUUAUCCUGGUGAAAUGCUACAAUGAGGUGUUUUAUCUAUGCGCUUGCGGAUAGAAUAGAUUAUUUUCUAGAGAGCCUUUGCAUUUAUAAAUACCUUUGUACACUCUGGCAUCAUGCUGGGGAUGACAACCUAGUAUCUAAGUGGUGUUAGCUAGUGUCAACACUUUGUCGAUUGUAAGGUCAAAUCGGCUGGCAUGCCUUAACGUUGAAUCGGGUAUUAGCCCUUUGUGUUUGCAGAUCCACUUUUGCACCAACACAUCUUUUGGCACUCUCGGUGGGACAGAGAUUCAACAUCAAGAUCGACAUGUCGAACACCGAUUUCGACUUGGAGAACGUCAUCCCCGUGACGGAAGCCAAUCUCAGAGAUGAACAGAAGCAAGCUAUGGCAAAAGCUAUGGAGGACUACAAGCAGCUAUGCUUGAAAUCCUUUAGUUUCAACAGGAGUGGCGAGGUGAUCCAAAAGGAAGCACUGCCGAUGCCUUGGCAAAUUACUUUUGAAGCCAAUCCUGGUAAACUACAAGAGAUGGUUGACAGUGCUAUUAAUCGUGCUCUAAUCAAUCAAUCUAGUGUGCUGUCCAAUACAGUUGUCAAUGCUGUGGCUAGAACUUUCAAAGAAGGAAAAGUACCGCCAUCUUAUGUGGGCCCAGCUUAUCAUUAGCCAGGGGCAUCAUCGGUUACGGCUCCAUCGGCUACUACGGCCGUUGCGGGUACAGAAGUUACUUCUCCUCCAAGCACAUUAGCGAUAACUAAUGCGCAAUCUACACCGAUGAUGACCAAUCCAUCAACAUUAGAGGGACAAAUCAAACUUGCUUCAGAUUUAUUGGCAUCAGCGAUGUCAGGGUCUGUUCCUCCCAAUUGGUGGGGAUAUGGUAUGCCCCCAGAGUUUAUGGCAAAUAGCUCUAGGAUGUCUCAAGCGGCUAACAUGACAGGCAAGGCUCCUAUGGCAUCGGCACCCCUAGGCUCAUCGAUGACUCAGAAUCCCCAAUAUUCUACAACUACUACUGCAAGACCUUUUACUAGGAAUUCUCAAAUGCCAAUGUUCCAGAUGCCUAACGCAUCGGCAGAUUCAAUGCCGACAUAACAAAGGUUUACAACACAGACAAGGUAUGUCAAUUCAAUGAUGAUGCCCAAUUAUCAGCCAUCGGCAGGGCCUACGCCGAUGAAUGUCAAUAAUGGAUGGACAGGGUAGUUUGUCUUUCCACAGAUGCCUCAGUAGAAUCAUCAGGCUAUGGGAUUUCAGCAGGGACCAAUGCAACCUGGAUUUCAGAAUCAAGGGUUAAUCAACCAGCCGAUGAAUCUUGGUCAGCAAAUUGGUGGCCAACAAGCGGUGGCUAAUCCUAUGUUCCCUAGAGAUCGUGCACUGCAGAGAUACCUGGAAGCUUAUCAGCAGAUGCCAGAUCCACAACCAGCUCAUCGGCAAGAUGCCAAUGCUUAUUGGGCCGAUAAGAUAGCUGAGGUGAUGAGAGACCAAUUUGGGACAAAACUUAAAGUCAACACUUACUCUUAUCGGACACCGUAUCCUCCUGCAUAUGAUUUAAUUCCGCUUCCAAAUCGGUACAAGGUGCCGGAUUUCACCAAGUUUUCUGGACAGGAUGAUACAUCAACCAUGGAACAUGUCAAUAGAUUUAUCAUCCAGUGUGGGGAAGCUACUAAUAGAGAUGAGUUAAGGGUUCGUUUAUUCUCAUCGUCUUUAUCUGGAUCGGCCUUUACUUGGUUUAUUUCAUUACCUCCAAACUCAGUGAUUACUUGGGCCGAUCUAGAGAAGCAAUUCCACAAGUACUUCUUUUCUGGAGUACAUGAGAAGAAGAUUACCGAUUUAGUCAGGCUAAGGCAACGCAAUGAUGAAUCGGUUGAAAGCUUUGUGCAGAGGUUACGAGAUGUUAAGAACAAAUGGUAUAGUCUGGUUCUGGAUGAUCGGCAGCUAGCCGAUUUGGCUUUCCAAGGAUUGUUGCCACACAUUAAAGACAAAUAUGCUUCUCAAGAGUUUGAAAGUCUAAGCCAUUUAGUGUAGAGGAUUUCUGACCAAGAUAUCAGAGCUUUUGAACCUAAGAGAGCAUGGAACAAAAAGGUUUCAUUUGUUGAUGAGGCAACAAGCUCGGACUCUGAUGAAGAACCAAUCAUCGGCUUGGCAGAGUGGGUAAUGAAUAAGAAGCUGAUGUCUUGCCCUUUUGGGCAUAAAGAACCAGAAAAGUUUGUAUUUGAUAUCACCAAAGCCGAUAGGAUAUUUGACUUUUUGCUUCAGGAGGGGCAAAUUAAGUUAUCACCCAAUCAUGUGAUUCCAUCGGCAGAAGAGUUAAAGAAGAUUAAGUUCUGCAAGUGGCAUAAUGCAACAUCCCAUAGUACAAAUGAGUGCAAGGUUUUCAAGCAACAGCUGCAAUCGGCUAUAGAGUCUGGGAGAAUUAAGUUCAAUAGCUCCAAAGCUCAAAAAUCGAUGAAGAUUGACCAACAUCCUUUCCCUACAAAUAUGUUGGAUGCUAAGGGAAAGACUAAAGUCUUGACAUCAGAGGCAGCUGAAAGAAGCGCAUCGGUGGAUCCUCAACACCAGAUUACUGCCGAUGAUGCCAAAGGCAAGGGUUUGAUCCAGGAAGGAACCAGCUCAGGAAGGUCUCCCCGAUCUGGCAUUGUGAUUACUCAUAGAAGGCAUCGGGAGACCUGGCAGCAGUGUGAAGAUCGGUAUCGGCGCCAACAGGAAGAUCAUCGUCGGGAAGACGAAAGACGCCGACAAGAGUGGAAUCGGCAUAAAGAUCACUGGAACUAUCCGUUCUUCAUCCACUGUUGGGAGCAAAAUAUCAAGUUACCAACUAUCAGAGACUGCCCUGAGUGCAAUGGCUAUAAUCGGUAUGAUAGACCAAAUCGGCAGUAUCAGAACAAUGAUCGGCAUUUUGAUGGGCUGAUUAGAGGAACAGCCUCAGUUCAUGAUCGGCUGGGGGGCAGACUCAGCGUGCAUGACAGACUUGGUGAGCGUGUCGGGUAUUUUCUCAGAAACCAAGAGGAGCUUGAAGAGCACGAGUUCCCGAUGAGUUCAAAUUUUGUAGAGAUGCUAAUACUUAUCGAAUGGAAUCAAGAGAAAAUCAUCGUCAGUCGACCACAACUUCCUCCAUGGUGUCUAGAGGGAUUAACUAGGACAUAGAAAAGAAGGCUAUAGCGAGAGCGACGAGAAGAGUUGAGUAGAGGAGAGAAUUUUGCUAAGUCUGGAGAUCAGCAGCAGCCAGAUCCUAAAGGAAAAGGGCCAUCGGCAGAUGUUAAUAUGGUAUUUAUGUUGCCGAUGAAAUUCUUUGCACCUUUCAGUGAUGAUGAGGAGGUGGAUUUCCCCGAUCAGAUAGCUCAGUUGCCUCUAGAUCCGAUGACGGCUAUCUUUGAAAAGCCCGCUGAUAAUGAGAGACAAUAUCUUAAAGCUUUGUUUGUCAAAGGCAGGGUUGAUGGGCAACCGAUGACCAAGAUACUUGUUGAUGGUGGGGCUGCUAUCAAUAUUAUGCCAUAUGCAGUCUAUCGGAAGCUUGGCAAAGGAGAUCAAGAUUUGACGAAGACCGAUAUGAUGUUAAAGGAUUUUGAAGGAAAUGUGUCUCUAGUCAAGGGAGCCAUAUGUGUUGAGUUGACCAUCGGCAGCAAAACCUUGCCGAUAACUUUCUUCGUCAUCAGUGGAAAGGGUGCUUAUAAUCUACUGUUGGGGAGAGACUGGAUUCAUGCCAAUUGUUGCAUCCCAUCCACGAUGCACCAAUGUCUGGUUCAGUGGGUAGGUGACAAGAUUGAAAUUGUCCGAGGAGAUUCUUCAUAUGUCAUCACAUCGGUAGAGGCGGAUACUUAUGAAAAGAACAGAUGCAUUUCAGGGGAAAUUUGGGAAAAGGAUUUUGUCAAAGUCACCGAUUAUGAAAUUCCACCAAUCCAAGCAGUCGGUUCUGAUGACGAGUCUUAAUGGAUAGGUUCGCCGAUGAUGGAAAAUUAGGCUAGGGGUUUACAUCGGCCGAUGAUUUAGUAGAAGUAGAUAUAGGUAAUGGUGAUAGGCCAAGGCCUAUGUUUAUUAGUGCUAAGUUAGAUUCUGAGUGUAAGCAACAGUUAACCGAUUUGUUAAAGGAAUAUAAAGAUUGCUUUGCUUGGGAUUAUACCGAGAUGCCUGGUUUGGACCGAUCUAUUGUUGAACGUCGGUUGCCUAUCAAAUCUGGAUUUCGGCUGCAUCAGCAGCCAGCUCGCCGAUGUAAUCCUAAUAUUCUUCCUGAUAUUAAGGCUGAAAUAACUAAACUUAUCGAAGCAAAAUUUAUUCGGCAGUGUCGGUAUGCUGAAUGGAUUUCAAAUGUUGUUCCAGUUUCCAAGAAGAAUGGGAAGCUUCGUGUCUGUAUUGAUUUUAGGAAUCUUAACAAAGCUACAUCGAUGGAUAGUUAUCCAAUGCCAGUUGCCGAUUUACUAGUUGAUGCUACAGCUGGACAUCGGAUUAUUAGCUUUAUGGAUGGGAAUGCAGGAUAUAAUCAAAUAUUCAUGGCCGAAGAAGAUAUUCCAAAGACUGCAUGUAGAUGUCCUUUGUCAUGUUGGGUUGUUUGAAUGGAUAGUCAUGACCUUUGGCUUGAAAAAUGCUGGUGCUACUUAUCAGAGGGCUAUGAAUUUUAUCUUUCACGAGUUCAUCGGUAAGCUGGUGGAAAUUUAUAUUGAUGAUGUGGUGGUUAAUUCUGGAGUUUUCACAAAGCAUCUUGCCGAUCUACGAAAGGUGUUGGAGUGCACAAGGAAACAUGGUUUAAAUAUGAAUCCUAAUAAGUGUGCAUUUGGUGUAUCGGCAGGGCAAUUCCUUGGUUUCAUGGCGUAUCGGAGAGGAAUUGAAAUUAGUAGGAGAUCUAUUGAUGCUAUCAACAAAAUAGUUGCUCCCACCAACAAAACUGAACUCCAAUCUCUAAUCGGCAAGAUAAAUUUUAUCAGGUGAUUUAUAUCUAACUUGUCUGGUAAGAUUUGUGCUUUUAGUCCUUUACUUAAGUUGAAAGCCAAUCAAGAGUUUGUGUGGGGAAGAGAGCAACAAGCAGCAUUGGACGAAAUCAAGAAUUAUUUGACAAAUCCUCCAGUUCUGAUUCCACCUCAGCAAGGAAAACCAUUCAAAUUGUAUUUGUCUACCGAUGGGAUGGUCAUUGGUUCGGCUCUAAUUCAAGAAUUUGAAGGGAAGGAACAUGUGAUUUUUUAUUUAAGUAGAAGACUGGUUGAUGCUAAGACCAGGUAUUCGGCAAUUGAAAAAUUAUGUUUAUGCUUAUACUUUUCAUGUAUUAAGUUGAGACAUUAUUUGCUAUCGGCCGAAUGCACUGUUAUAUGCAAAGAUGAUGUAGUCCGAUACAUGCUAUCUAUGCCGAUUAUGAGUGGUAGAAUCGGCAAAUGGAUUUUGGUGCUGUCGAAAUUUGAUCUGCGUUAUGAAUCGGCUAAGUCAGUUAAAGGGUAGAUUAUGGCCGAUUUUGUGACUCGGCAUUGUGGUGUAGUGGGGACUUUGGAGAUUGUUCCUUGGACGCUCUUCUUUGAUGGAUCCACGUGUGACUGGGGGGUAGGAAUUGGUAUAGUACUAAUUUCUCCUCGGGGAAAGAAGUAUGAGUUUUCUUUACCGAUUGUCGCCAUGUCAAUGAAUAAUCAAGCUGAGUAUCAAGCUUUGAUCAAAGGGUUGGAAUUGUUAAAAGAGGUUCAUGCUGAUGCUGUUGAAAUCUUUGGUGAUUCUAUGCUUGUUAUAAAUCAAUUGGCUGGAAUUUGUGAAUGUUGAAGCGAGGUCUUGAUAACCUAUUAUGAAAAGAGUAUGCAACUGUUGAGGGAAUUCAAGAAUUUCUAAUUGGAGCAUGUUCCUCGAUUACAUAAUGAAGAGGCUAAUCGGUUGGCUCAGCAUGCCUCGGGAUAUCAACCUAUCUUAAAUGCGUAUCGGCAAUCAGUGCCGAUGAUUGGAGAAAGGAGAUCAUUGAUUACUUAAAAGAUCCAUCUAAAAAGGUUGAGAGGCGUGUCAGGUUUCAAGCUACUAGGUAUGUACUCCUUGGAGAAGAGUUAUAUUAUCGAACGAUAGAUGGAGUUUUACUCAGGUGCUUGAGUGGUGAUGAAGCUAAAAGUUUGAUGGGUGAGAUCCAUGAGGGGAUAUGUGGAGCACAUCAGUCGACUUUUAAGAUGAAAUGGAUGUGUCGGUGUUUUCCCCCGGGGGGUCACACCAACCAGUAAAUUUGUAUGCGUGCUUCCUUUUCCAGAUGGUGAUGCAAAAAGACACAAAGAUUUAUCCUGGUUCGGGCAAGAGAAGGCCCUACGUCCAGCAGGGGGGAGAGUUUGUAUUAUUCUGCACCUAAGUGCUUGUACAGGGGUGAAUACAAGCGUGGUAUGAACUGGGAUGGAGAUGGAGUAUGGAAGCUCUACUACGUGUGGCGUGUGUGUUGUGUUGUAUCACGUGUCCCCUAUCCGCUCUCGGGCCAAGGAGAGACCUAGGGUACAUGUAUAGGCGUCAGAGUAGGGGUCGAUAGAGGUAUGGCGCGCUGACCUACUCGAGGCCUCCGUACCGGUGUGGCCUCGAGCUGUCCCGUCUUGGUGCCUUGAUCAUGAUUACGCGUGCCCCUGAAACCCACUCCUGUGCGCCGUCCUGGACUGACUUGGCUGUUGCAUGCUUGUACAUCGCGGCGGCAGAUAUGUCGGAGUGGUUGUAGUGUUGUCAUUCGACGCCCGACUCUUCUCCAGGAAGGAAAUGUGCCUACUCGAGGGUCUGGUGCCGUAUAAUGCCUUGUCAGCCAGAGCGCUGACCUUAGACGUCUCGAGGGGGGUCUUGAUUAGACGUUCCGACCCACUCCUUGCGUCCUGCCACGUUCUGGCUUGUUUGGUGGGGAAGGCUGCAAAAAGAAUGAUGGGACGGGUGCCUGUUCCCUAUCAAGCUUCCCGUGACUGGUGGGUUAGGUGAGAACGCGACAGGCGCAUUAAAUGCCCAGGUGGCGGGUGGCGUCCUUGCGCUCAACGCCUUUCGAUUCGCUCGAGCCUAUUUCCGUAUUCGACGGUAGCCGGCGCUCGAACCCUGAUCGAUUCGCAGGACGCUCUUUCCGUGUUCGAGACCAUGGCCGUCGAGGACCGUACGUAUGACCGGGUAGAGCGUCGAGUUGGAGGCCUCGACUUGCAUACGGGCAUUCUCGUCAUGCACAUCAGUUAGGGUAUCCCUUACUGAUAUCCUCGACAGGAUGAUUAGGAGGAAUGGGUAUUAUUGGCCGACUAUAUUUGAGGAUUGCUUUAAAUAUUUCAAAGGUUGUCAAGGAUGUUAGAGAUUUGGUAAUGUUCAAAGGGCACCUGCAUCGACCAUGAAACCUAUAAUUAAGCCUUGGCCGUUCUGGGGGUGGGCUAUUGAUCUAAUCAGAUAGAUGUAUCCGCCAUCAAGCAUGGGGCAUAAGUUCAUCUUAGUCGCCACUAACUAUUUUACCAAGUGGGUUGAAGCUAUUCCUUUGAAGAAAGUAACAUCGACAAACAUGAUUGAUUUUGUGAAAGAGCAUAUUGUUUACCGAUUUGGUAUUCCUCAAACAAUCACUACCGAUCAGGGUACUAUGUUCACAUCAGGAGAGUUUGAUGAAUUUGCAAUCGGUAUGGGGAUUAAAGUGUUGAUUUCUUCUCCUUACUAUGCUCAAGCCAAUGGACAAGCCGAAGCAUCUAACAAAGGGAUUAUUAAGCUCAUCAAACGAAAGAUUGAAGAAAAUCUUAGAAGGUGGCAUACGUUGUUGAAUGAAGCUUUGUGGUCAUAUCGGAUGGCAUGUCAUGGAUCGACCAAAGUUUCACCUUAUCAGCUAGUAUAUGGACACGAUGCGGUGUUGCCAUGGGAAAUUAAGACUGGAUCUAGGCGGGUAUCUUUUCAAGAUCAAUUGGUUGCUGAUGACUAUGCCACUUUGAUGAAAGACGAGUUAGAUGACUUGGCAGGGCAUCGGUGUAACACCCCAGUGUUAUGGUUGCAUUAAUCACAUGCAUAACAUAAGCAUCAUCCUCUACUCAAGCAUGUCUUGGUCAUCAUCUACCUUGAGUCAUGUCAUUCUAUGCAAAAAUGGGAUUUAAAUUGCUUAAAUAGGCUCCCUAUGCUUAUGUUUGAGUGAACCAUGCUUGUGUUUGGGUGCUAUGCCUUGUUAAAUAGUUUAUCUAAGCUUAACUUAACCUUGGGAACAAUGUUCAUGUUGAUCACUUCUCCAAAAUAAUCACUUAAGUCAUACUUAUGUAAAUAGGCCCUAGAAACCUCUUUUGCUUAGGCUUUUAAAACGUGUUUCAUAAAAUGUUUGCAUGUCAAAACUUUCUACAGCAAAGUUGUAGAAAAUUUUAUAAGAAACAAAAGUUGUUUUAUGGCCAUCUCAUGAAAAUGAACACAAAUAGCUCAAAAUUGACCCACAAGGCAGAUUUGGGGCUGUUUCCAACACUUAGAAAAUUUUCUAAGUCUAGAAUCACUGCAGUUUGCUCGAGGGGGUGUUGUUCAUCUUCCAGUUUGAAUUCUAGGCCAAAUCAAACUAUGAUCUUGUAAACAAUGUUGGAGUACUCAUGUAGCUCUCCAGCAUAGAGCAAUUAGCCAGCAAAAUCAUCGAGUGGUUUAGGAGUUAAUCAUCGUGCAAAAUCGAGUUUCAGUUGGGUUUGGGAACUGAAUGAGGUCGCCGGCGGACAGGGGGAGCUCGCCGGUGACGCCGCGUGUCUGGACCCGUGCCGUCCGUACGUCGCCGUUGGUCCCGCUCGUCAGUCCUCAGCGCGUCCUGCAGCUCGCCACGGUGCCCCCGGUCGCGUGGACAGCGUCAUUCCACUCCCGGCUCCCUCCCUCUCGCGUGCGUCGUCGUCUCCGCGUCGCCGCCGUUGCUUCGGCGAGCUCGCGCGCACGUGUCUCCGUGUCUCUGGCCAAGCCACUCCGCCCAGCGCUCCGCCAGCCUCUCCACUUCACCGUCGUCAAGUUGGCUACGGCUGCCGAGCCUCGGUAAGCCGGCAUUGCCUUCUCCGUCGCGAGCUUACCUCGCCGGAGCUCUGCCAUGGCCACCGGCGUCGUGGCCAGGGCUCUGUAGUCCACCAUUCUUCCUCAUUCUUGUCCCAAAAGCUCCGCUAGGUCUUGCUGUUGCUCGUCCGCACUCUCUUCCGCUCUGUCUCCGGCCAGAGGCGCCGGCGGUCGGCCGCGUACCACCACUGUGCCGCCAUUCGCGAGGGCGAGGUACCUAGAGUCCAGUAGAGUUAGGGUUUCGGGUACUGCUCGAUGCGGACUGAUGUGGGGAGCACGAUGGUGCCCUUGGUUGUCGCCGAGACCUCGCCGUCGAUGAGAUCUUCGGCGGUCAAGUCGCGCCUCUGCUCUCGGGUCGCUGGCAUGUGGGGUCCGUUGACUCGCGGGUCCCCCUGUCAGUCUCUCUUUCUCCUUUGUUUAAUUUAGGGUUUGAGCUGUUUUUGCAAAAAUCAUAUCUCUGGUUCUGGUGAUCCAAAAAUUGUGAAAUCAAUUUUGUGGUAUUCCUUGAGAUGGCUAGUUUUUAAUAAAAAUAUAAAAUGAACCAUGUUUUCUGGGAAAAUAUUUAUUAAAGAUUUAAUUUUGUUAUUCAUAAGUAAAUUCAUAUCUCUUGUUAUACUUCUUAGUUUGCCAUGAAAAUUUUAUGGUAGUCUCUGUGCGGUACUAGAGUGCUUUGAUAAAUAUUUCAUGAUUUUUGGAGUACUGCAGCUUUGUUAUGUAAUUUAUGUUUGAGAUUUGGCUUGUUUCUUUAAUAAAAUCAUAUAAAAUAAUUGGUGUUUAUGCUGGUACUCUACUUUGGUAGUAAACUUGUUUAUGGUAUUCAUAAUAUAUAAAUAAUCUGAAAUCUGUUGUUUGACACAAUAUAAGUCAUGAUUCCCAAUUUAUGAAAUAAACAUCUUGUUACAUGUUAAAUGCAUAUCUUUAAUUUGGUAUGUGCAAUUGCUCUGAAAUUUUUAUGGUGAUGCUUUGAUGCUAUUCUUGUGCCUUUGUAAUUUUUGUAGAUUUUUCUGAGCAAUCUGACUAGUAUCUUGUAAUUAUGCUCCUCUCUAUGAUUAAAUUACUAAAUGCCUUGUUAAUAAACAUUUGGAGAUUAUCAUGUGAUGUUCUGGUAACCUUAUGUUAUGCUUGUGCUUAUAAGUCAUGUGGUUGGCACUGUUUGUAUUUCGGUUAUGUCAUCAAAUAAUUAAUUCUAGGGUUAAAGGCUGUUCUGGACAUCAAGGGAGUAAUAUAGUCUUUACUUGUUGUUAACUUGGUUUUCUGGGAGGCUUGUCUAAAUCAAAGUUGUUGUAAACUUUAUGGACUAGCUGUGGUUUAAAUUUGGGGUCAUUUGGCCUAGUAGUUUAAAAGUUAUAGCUGUUCCAAGUUCGGUUCCAGAAAUAGGUGCUCUCUGUUUUUCUGGGACAUAACCUGAAACUUUGUUUAAAUGGCUUCUUUAACUUAUGAAUCUUGCUGUGAUGCUCAAAGAUGAUUUGUAGACAAUUUCAUAAGCUUUCCAGAAUGUCCUCACUCACGUUUGUUGGAUCUGCCUAGCACUAGUUAUGAUAUGUUUACUGAGGUAAACCUGCUAUAUGAUGCUUGCUGUUUUAGGUUAUCAUGAUAGGUUUUGGGCUUAGUUGACUUACUACCUCGUGUGAACUUGUUAUAAUUGUGUUACUCCGUAAAUGAGUGUCCAGUGAGUCCAUUAUGUUAUCAAGCAUUCAUCUUUAGCAUGUCCACCUUCUUAUUCAUCGAGCAUGCAAUAGGUGCAUCGGACGCGACCGCCUCCUACGAGCUUCAAGUGAACCCCGAAGGCCAGGAGGGCAACCCGGAGGCGGAGGUCCAGCAAGUCGGACUCGAGGAGCCCGAAGAAGAAGUUGAGUGCCCGAGUCACGAGCCAGCCUCGUUCGUGAAAGGCAAGCCCCGGAGCAUUCUAAGUCUCCCUUUACUUUCGAAAGUUUACUUAAUAUGUUAUAUCUAUUGCUGCAUUAAGUAUAGGAGUUGUGAUGACACCCUUGCUGCAUUUUACUCCAUCCUUGUCCAGAUAACUCACCACACCUUGGUUAUAGAGUUAGGAUCGAGUAGCAGGUUAGCCAUGCUUAAUGGGUAGAAGUCGGGUGAUUUCCUGUCACCUGCGCGAUAUAGGGUUGUGUCGGAUCACGAUGGUCUAUAUGUGCUAUCGUGGAUGGAACCUGAUUAAAAAUGAUUUAAGCUGGGCGGAGUUUUGCAAGGUUGUAGUAACUCCGUCUGUGGCAGCUAAGGACUGACCGUUGUACGUCCUCAUGUCAUGUUGAACGCAGGCCUAACACUUAGUUGGCCGGAUAACUCGUUCCGACCGCGAAGCCGAGUAAUAUGACUUAGGCUGGAAGGUCGAUAAGUAUAAAGUGCGCACUACCGGAGGAAGUGCGGUGUGCGGAGGACCAUUGGCGUAAGCCCAAAGGCAGGUGAGUUAAAAUUCCUGACCUCCCUGGCAGAGUGUUAUCCCUGGGAGUACGGCGCUUAUCGGAACCGCGAUUCCGGAGUUGUAUCAAAGGUGACCCGUAGGCUCUUCGGCAGGGGAAGCUUGGGUGAGUGAUAGGAAUAACCCUCCAGCUAGAUAGGAAUUCGAUUCGAAUCGCCGUCUCUCCCAGUUAGUGAGAACUUGACAGAGCAGCGGCAAACGUAGCAUUCACUAAAGAACUUGGGUUCAUGGUAAUGAUGAUAGCCAGGAAAAGUACAUGAUGAACUGGAUAUGGUUAUUAUUGUUUGUAAUAAUCAAGUGAAGUGCUUUAGUAUAGGUGCUAAUCUAGUAGUAGGCUGAUGAUGAAUAAAUAUGAUGCUCUCACAAUAAUGUAGUUUAUGCAAGCUUUUGGCAAAUAUGAGUCAACCAGCUCCAUUUGAUGUUAGCCUUGCAUGAUCCUUGGUGUCUUUUAUGUUUUACUAGACGGGUAAGUCUAGCUGAGUACAAUCUCGUACUCAGGGUUUAUUCCCACCUGUUGUAGAUGGCAUCUUUUAUGACGGCUUCUGCAAGACCUGUCUCCAUCCCGCUGGGGAUGAGGACUAACCGUUGGGCACGGUUCUCUAACAAUCUCGUACCUGUUGCUUUUGGAAGGAUGAUGUAGACUCUGGCAGUAACUCGAACUUAUGAACUGAACUUUGGAAAGUGUGUGUGUAACUAUUUUGCUUCCGCUACUUCGAACAAGUGUUGUAAUAACUUAAUACUCCGAUGUGGUGCCGCUUCGACGGCAAUGAGUGACUAUGUAACAUUCGCUGUGUUGUGCUGAAUUAUUACGAUCUUGGUUUGUUGCAAGUUGGUUUGAAGUCCUUCGUGAUUUCAAUUGACUACCGGGAUUAUAUGGGCUCAAGUUUGGAAACUUGAUUGCUUGUCGAUCGUUUCUACACUUGAACUCUUAUAAUUUGGUCGGUUCUGUGACAGCUGGUAUCGGAGCAAGUUCAGCAUUAUAAAUGCAGCAUUUGUGUAUUUAAAAACAAAAGAGUUUUUAAAAUAAAAAUGGUGUAAAUCAAUAUUUAAGUUAUGCUAGUGGUCGGAUCCUCCUUGCCCACAUAAGGACUAUAGGUGGCUAUUUAAGUACUGACUUGGGGGGGUUUAAUUUAUUCAACUCCGACAGUACUUAGGUAUGGAUGUGUGAUGACCGCACUAUGCUACCCUGUGGUCUAAUGGUGGAGGUAGCCUUCAUAUGUGAAGUAGCCACAUAUGUCGCUAGAUUUAAAUUAUGCAACGUCGCACCUACGCCCUGGUAAGUGUGAGCUGUGAGAGCAUGAUCGUCCAAACGGCGGUCUAGGGGAGUGUUCGCGGUGGUUUUCUAGAGUGGUUACAUGUCAAACCAUGGAACCACGAAAGAAACUUAACUGGGGAGCAUUUAAUUUCUCGGGUAGCUGUGGUGUCAUAGUUUGUGCAUGUUGGGCAUGUCCAAGCAAUGUGCACUUAGUUUACUGCUUUCUUGAGUGAUAUAUUGGGAACUGUUGGGCUGAAAUGAAGUUUUCUGCAGGUACUCUAACAGCGCACGUGUAAAUCGCUAGUUAUCGUAUCGAGAGACGAAUGUAUGCCACUGUAUAUCCGUUAGAAUAUUAAUUUUCUAAGUUUGUGAGGACGUACGGUUCGUGCAUGCAUCAUGUCGCAUUCAUACAUACAUUCUGUCUACUCCUUCCCUUACAAUGUCGUCCCUUUUUAAUUAAAUAAAUGUUGCUUAACUAAUCCUCUAUUACCUAUGGUAUUCCUAUUCCUUUCCACAGAUGUCGCUUCACCCCGUCCCAGUGACACCUUCUUGAGCGAGUUUGGCACUCCUACCCUACUCUGGAGAGUGUUACAGUCUGUCGGGUAUGCUGAGCCACCUCAGUAUUCGUGGUGGGAGUUGGAGAGCAUAGGAGGGAUACAGUGGUUUGCUGUGCAGGGAGUUGUCCCUCCACAUGGGGACAAGCCUGCAUGGACAGGGUGGACUUGUAGCUCCAAUGGGCAGACUACUUGGGAGGCAGCUCAGGUUGCAGCCCAGACUAUCCUGCUCGAUAUCUGCCAGAGGUGUGGCGAUGAGCUGACGGGAGGGCCAGCGGCCUCCAUUCCCCGUGCUGACCCAGCAGCAGCGGAGUGGAAACAGGCUGAUGGUUGUGCUUUGGAUCGAGGCAGGGGAGAGAGAGCUGAGAGUUCUAGUCCUGCUAUGAGUGCUAUGAUGGCUGUGCUCAAGCUGAUCAGUCAGCGAGAGGACACCUAUGCACAGGUGAUGGUGGCUGUUCGCCAGGCUCAGGAGAUGCAACGGAAGGCUGAAAAGCGUGCUCGCAAGUUUCGCAAGCAAGCUAGACUCCUGGAGCAAGCUCAGAAGGACCGCAAUGACUGGGAAUACAUUGCAGAGUAUCGUAGGCAGCAGUGGGUGAAGGCCAUUAGAGAGAGAUCAUAAGCAGGAUCAGAUGAGUCAGUUAGCUAGAGAGAGGGAGACCAUACAGGAGCGCUUGGUGCAGAUCACUCGUGAGAGGGACACUGCACUCCGCGUGUCGGAGAAUAGGCGCCGGGCAUGGGAGAUGCAUCGGAUUCAGUCUCUUGAGCAGGAGAACUAUCUGUAGGAUCAGAUUGAGGCUGGUCUUGUGGAGAUUCACCGUCUCAACAACUUGCUACACCCUAUUCCUCGCCCUAUACCCAUGUACCCAGAGGUGGGACCUCAGGUGAUUGUGGCCGAUGAUGAUGGUAUGGAGGUCGAUGGACCAGCAGCGGCCACACCACCCUUGCACGAGGACGUGGAGGACGAGGAGCUUGAGCCAGUUAGCGAUGAGGAUGGAGAGGCGAUCUUCGACGCUGACUUGGACGACGAGCCUGGAGUGUAGAGAGUAGUGGGUAGUGUUGUGUAGGGAUCUUUUGUAGUCUGGUAGUUAGCGGUGAUGUUUGAUUACCCAUGAUGUAAUCUGGAACUUUGACCUUGACUCAUGGCAUGUACUAUGAUGGUGUAAUAACUUUGUGGACCCAAUAUGUAAUCUUGACACGCUCGUUAUGUUAUGACGAUGUUUUCCGUUGUGGUGCAUAUUGCGGAUAUCUCUGUCAUGUGUUGGAUUGGUGAUGUUGUUUUGUGGAAUUGAAUUAUUGUGCCUUUUCUGUAAAGCUAUUCUCUCGAAUACUUUCAGGCAUAAGUAUAAAUCUUCUGCGGCAAAUCUUGUCAUCAUCAAUACUCACUGACUGUGUCUUUACAGAUGUCUCGUGGCACCCGAGGUGCGGAACAGCGUGCAAACAUGAAUCCACCCCCUCCUCCUCCCCCACCAAAUCCAGCUGAGCUGAUGCAAAUGAUGGUGGAAAAUCAGAGGAUGCUCACUGAGACCAUCAAUCGAAUGGCAAAUCAGGGUGGUCGUAAUGUGCAAGCAGGGCCAGCACCUAACCAGUAUAGCAGCUUCAAGGAUUUCCUGGAUACUAAGCCCCCACCUUUCAGAGAGGCGGAAGAACCCCUUCAAGCUGAGGAAUGGCUGAACACUGUGGAACAAAAGUUCCACUUGCUUCGGCUAACCGAGGGUUUGAAGGUGGAGUACGCAGCUCAUCAACUGCAAGGCCCAGCAGGCAUGUGGUGGAAUCAGUAUCGGGAAGCUCUUCCCGCCGACACGGUGCUUGAUUGGAAUCUGUUCCGUGAUGCUUUUAAAGGGCAUUUCAUUCCUCCUGGUAUCAUGGAGAUGAAGCAUACUAAGUUUAUGCAGUUGACUCUGGGCAACAAAACUAUGAAGGAGUAUUUGCAUGCUUUCAAUCAUUUGUCUAGGUAUGCUCCUGAGUUUGUGAAAACUGAGGCGAAAAACAUUGCUAGUUUCAAGCUGGGUUUGGGCCCCAAGUUGCUGAAGACUAUGGGUCGCACCAAGUGUGCAACUUUCAAUGAAUUUGUCAGUGAUGCUCUGACCCAAGAGAAAUAUAACACUGUGUACUCGGCAACCAAGACUCGCAAGCGGGCUUUUGAGGCCGGGGCAGGUUCAUCUCAGUCCAAGGCUCCAGUGGCAGCUAAGCCACCGUUCCGUGCUCCAACACCUAACCAGCGGUAUCGCCCGCCUGCGAAGAAGAAUCAGGCCAAAACAGGUUUCCGCAAGGGGUACUCUAUUGCUCUUCCUAGGGUGCAACACGGGUCCCAACUAUGCCAAGACUCCACCUGCCAACCGUCCGUGCUGGAAUUGCAAUCAGACCGAGCAUUGGCAGAGCAACUGUCCUUACCUGCCAAAGAAGGGCAACCAGGGGAACGUCCGCCAGGGGCGUGUUCACUACACAACCGUGGAGGCAAUCCCUGCUGGUGAGGUAGUCACGGCUGGUAAGUUUCUCGUUAACCAAUGUGAUGCACUUGUGCUUUUUGAUUCAGGAGCAUCGCAUUCUUUUGUGAGUUCAGACUUUGUGUCUAAGCAUAAUCUCAAAGCAAGUAUACUUGAUAAGGGUAGUUAUUGCAUUAGUGCUGCUGGGAAUGAUAUAUCUACCAAUCAAGUGGUUUUUGGGGCAACUCUGGAAAUUGGAGGCCGUCAGUUUCUUGCUGAUCUGGUUGUCUUACCCGGUGUGGGCAUAGAUGUAAUUCUAGGUAUGAAUUGGAUGAGUGGUAACGGAGUUCUUAUCGACACCAGCACCCGCGUAGUGAUGUUGAGAGACCCCAGUACCAAGGAGGCGUUCUUAGAGCAACUUCCUCGAGAUAUCCAUAUCCGUAGCACUAUGAAUGCAGUUACAGCUAAGGCCAUCCAGGAUAUUCCGGUGGUGUGUGAGUUCCCGGAUGUGUUUCCUGAUGAUUUACCCGGGCUUCCUCCAGAUCGGGAUGUGGAGUUCAAAAUUGAAUUGAUUCCAGGUACCGCUCCUAUCUCUAGAAGGCUGUAUAGAAUGCCACCAAAUGAGCUAGCUGAGCUUAAAACCCAACUAAAUGAGUUGUUGAAGAAGGGUCUUAUCCGUCCUAGUUCUUCUCCUUGGGGUUGUCCGGCUAUCUUUGUGAAGAAGAAGGAUCAAUCCUUGCGCAUGUGUGUGGACUAUCGUCCCCUAAAUGCGGUAACCAUCAAGAACAAAUACCCUCUUCCUCGCAUUGAUAUCUUGUUUGAUCAAAUGUCUAAAGCUAAGGUAUUCUCCAAGAUUGAUUUGCGAUCUGGGUAUCAUCAGAUCAAGAUCCGUCCUGAAGAUGUACCUAAGACAGCUUUCUCGACGAGGUAUGGGUUGUAUGAGUAUCUCGUCGUGUCCUUCGGUCUUACCAAUGCACCUGCUCACUUCAUGUAUCUCAUGAAUUCGGUGUUCAUGCCUGAAUUGGAAAAGUUUGUGGUGGUCUUCAUUGAUGAUAUCUUGGUAUAUUCCUGCAAUGAAGAGGAGCAUGCAGAGCAUCUGCGUAUAGUGUUGUCGCAUUUGCGUGAGCAUCAGCUCUAUGCAAAAUUCAGCAAAUGCGAGUUUUGGCUAAAGAAAGUACCUUUCUUGGGCCAUGUCCUAUCUGAAGAAGGCAUAUCGGUAGAUCCAGCCAAGGUGCAAGAAGUGCUGGAUUGGAAAGUUCCAACUUCGGUACACGAGGUUCGGAGUUUUCUUGGUCUGGCUGGAUAUUAUCGUCGAUUCAUUCCCGAAUUCUCAAAAAUAUCCAAGCCUAUGACUCGGCCGCUUCAGAAAGAUGAGAAGUUUGUGUGGACGCCUGAAUGUGAAGAGGCAUUCCACAAGUUGAGGACAUUGCUGACAUCAGCUCCUGUCCUAGCUCAGCCUGAUAUCGAGAAGCCUUUCGAUGUCUUCUGCGACGCGUCGGGUAUUGGUUUAGGCUGUGUGUUGAUGCAAGAAGGUCGCGUUAUCGCGUAUGCCUCACGCCAACUUUGAAAACAUGAGGUCAAUUACCCAACUCAUGACUUAGAAUUGGCGGCAGUUGUUCAUGCUUUGAAAAUCUGGAGGCAUUAUUUGCUGGGUAACCUUUGCAAUAUCUACACCGAUCAUAAGAGCCUCAAGUAUAUCUUCACUCAACCUGAAUUGAACAUGCGACAGCAAAGAUGGCUUGAGUUGAUUAAAGAUUAUAAUCUACAAGUGCACUAUCAUCCGGGCAAGGCGAACGUGGUGGCGGAUGCCUUGAGUCGGAAAGCGCACUGUCACUCAAUCCAAGUGGAAGAUCCGUUGUUAUCACAUCUUAUGCAUCCACUUGUGCUCAACCAGAUUUCUCGGAGAGUACUCUUCGCAAUCGAGUUAUCGAAUUGCAGCGAACAGAUGUGGGCAUCUAUCAUAUAAAGAGGAAAAUGAAAGAAGAAGAAACCAAGCAUUUCCGAGUCGAUGAGAACGGGAUUCUUUGGUUCAAGGAUCGACUUGUGGUCCCUAAAGACCGCGAGCUGCGAAAUUAGAUCUUAUCUGAAGCUCAUUCAUCCAAAUUGUCUAUCCAUCCUGGCAGUAGCAAAAUGUAUCAGGAUUUGAAACCUCUGUUUUGGUGGACAAAGAUGAAAAAGGAGAUUGCUGCUUUUGUCGCUCGUUGUGACAAUUGUUGUCGUGUGAAGGCUGUUCACAUGAAAGCUGGUUUACUUCAACCCUUGUCAAUUCCUGGUUGGAAAUGGGAAGAAGUCAGCAUGGAUUUCAUCGUUGGACUCCCAACUUCUGUUAAGGGUUUUGACUCUAUCUGGGUGAUUGUAGAUCGUUUGACCAAGGUUGCUCGAUUUAUUCCAGUCCGAACUGACUAUCGUCCACAUCAGUAUGCGGUGUUGUACUUCGAGCACAUUGUUCGUCAGUAUGGUGUGCCUCGAACAAUCAUAUCAGAUCGUGGACCAUAGUUCACUGCUCGAUUUUGGGAGUGUCUGCAUGAGCAAAUUGGUACUCAUUUAGUCCGAAGCUCUGCUUAUCAUCCCCAAACAGCGGGUCAAACUGAAAGGGUCAACCAAAUCCUGGAAGACAUGUUGAGGGCAUGUGCUCUCUCUUCAAAGGGUUCUUGGGUUAAGUGGUUGCCGCUAGCCGAAUUCUCCUACAACAAUAGUUAUCAGGAGAGUAUUAAGAUGGCUCCAUUUGAAGCCCUGUACGGUCGAAAGUGUCGAACCCCGUUGAAUUGGGUAGAAGCCGGAGAGCGAAGAUACUACGGUAUCGAUUUCGUGAACGAAGUAGAGCAGAAAAUCCGUACCAUCCAGCAACAUCUGGAAGCUGCUCAAGGUCGUCAGAAAAGUUAUGCUGAUAAGAGGAGGAAGCCGAUUGAAUUUGCAGUCGGUGACCAUGUGUAUAUCAAGGUGUCUCCGAUGAAGGGUGUACAAAGGUUCGGAGUCAAGCGAAAGCUUGCACCUCGUUAUGUGGGACCUUAUUGGAUUCUCGAAAGGAAAGGGAAUGUGGCGUACAAAGUUCAACUCCCAGUUGGGCUUCGGGCUAUUUUUCCUGUCUUCCACGUAUCACAAUUGAAGAACUGUCUUCGUGUACCGGAGGAACGAGUGGAAGUUUGGGAUAUCAAGCUAAAGUCAGACUUGGUGUAUGAAGAAAAACCCGUCGUGGUUCUUGAUCGCAAGGAACGGGAGACUCGUAAUCGUGUGGUUAAGUUCUACAAGGUGUUGUGGAGUAACCACGGGGAGGAAGAUGCCACUUGGGAGACGGAGGAUUAUUUAAAAGAAGUUUACAAAACAUUCUUCGAAAAUCAGUAAGCUUUCAAAUCUCGGGACGAGAUUUUUGUAAGGGCGGAGGGCUGUAACACCCCAGUGUCAUGGUUGCAUAAAUCACAUGCAUAACAUAAGCAUCAUCCUCUACUCAAGCAUGUCUUGAUCAUCAUCUACCUUGAGUCAUGUCAUUCUAUGCAAAAAUGAGAUUUAAAUUGCUUAAAUAGGCUCCCUAUGCUUAUGUUUGAGUGAACCAUGCUUGUGUUUGGGUGCUAUGCCUUGUUAAAUAGUUUAUCUAUGCUUAACUUAACCUUGGGAACAAUGUUCAUGUUGAUCACUUCUCCAAAAUAAUCACUUAAGUCAUACUUAUGUAAAUAGGCCCUAGAAACCUCUUUUGCUUAGGCUUUUAAAACGUGUUUCAUAAAAUGUUUGCAUGUCAAAACUUUCUACAGCAAAGUUGUAGCAAAUUUUAUAAGGAACAAAAGUUGUUUUAUGGCCAUCUCAUGAAAAUGACCACAAAUAGCACAAAAUUGACCCACAAGGCAGAUUUGGGGUUGUUUCCAACACUUAGAAAAUUUUCUAAGUCUAGAAUCACUGCAGUUUGCUCGAGGGGGUGUUGUUCAUCUUCCAGUUUGAAUUCUAGGCCGAAUCAAACUAUGAUCUUGUAAGCAAUGUUGGAGUACUCAUGUAGCUCUCCAGCAUAGAGCAAUUAGCCAGCAAAAUCAUCGAGUGGUUUAGGAGUUAAUCAUCGUGCAAAAUCGAGUUUCAGUCGGGUUUGGGAAUUGAAUGAGGUCGCCGUCAGACAGGGGGAGCUCGCCGGUGACGCCGCGUGUCUGGACCCGUGGCGUCCGUACGUCGCCGUUGGUCCCGCUCGUCAGUCCUCAGCGCGUCCUACAGCUCGCCACGGUGCCCCCGGUCGCGUGGACAGCGUCAUUCCACUCCCGGCUCCGUCCCUCUCGCGUGCGUCGUCGUCUCCGCGUCACCGCCGUUGCUUCAGCGAGCUCGCGCGCGCAUGUCUCCGUGUCUCCGGCCAAGCCACUCCGCCCAGCGCUCCGCCAGCCUCUCCACUUCACCGUCGUCAAGUUGGCUGCGGCUGCCGAGCCUCGGUAAGCCCACAUUGCCUUCUCCGUCGCGAGCUUACCUCGAUGGAGCUCUGCCAUGGCCACCGGCGUCGUGGCCAGGGCUCUGUAGUCCACCAUUCUUCCUCAUUCUUGUCCCAAAAGCUCCGCUAGGUCUUGCUGUUGCUCGUCCGCACUCUCUUCCGCUCUGUCUCCGGCCAGAGACGCCGGCGGUCGGCCGCGCACCACCACCGUGCCGCCAUUCGCGAGGGCGAGGUACCUAGAGUCCAGUAGAGUUAGGGUUUCGGGUACCGCUCGAUGCGGAUUGAUGUGGGGAGCACGAUGGUGCCCUUGGUUGUCGCCGAGACCUCGCCGUCGACGAGAUCUCCGGCGGUCAAGUCGCGCCUCUACUCUCGGGUCGCUGGCAUGUGGGGUCCGUUGACUCGCGGGUCCCCCUGUCAGUCUCUCUUUCUCCUUUGUUUAAUUUAGGGUUUGAGCUGUUUUUGCAAAAAUCAUAUCUCUAGUUCUGGUGAUCCAAAAAUUGUGAAAUCAAUUUUGUGGUAUUCCUUGAGAUGGCUAGUUUUUAAUAAAAAUAUAAAAUGAACCAUGUUUUCUGGGAAAAUAUUUAUUAAAGAUUUAAUCUUGUUAUUCAUAAGUAAAUUCAUAUCUCUUGUUAUACUGCUUAGUUUGCCAUAAAAAUUUUAUGGUAGUCUCUGUGCGGUACUAGAGUGCUUUGAUAAAUAUUUCAUGAUUUUUGGAGUACUGCAGCUUUGUUAUGUAAUUUAUGUUUGAGAUUUGGCUUGUUUCUUUAAUAAAAUCAUAUAAAAUAAUUGGUGUUUAUGCUGGUACUCUACUUUGGUAGUAAACUUGUUUAUGGUAUUCAUAAUAUAUAAAUAAUCUGAAAUCUGUUGUUUGACACAAUAUAAGUCAUGAUUCCCAAUUUAUGAAAUAAACAUCUUGUUACAUGUUAAAUGCAUAUCUUUAAUUUGGUAUGUGCAAUUGCUCUGAAAUUUUUAUGGUGAUGCUUUGAUGCUAUACUUGUGCCUUUGUAAUUUUUGUAGAUUUUUCUGAGCAAUCUUACUAGUAUCUUGUAAUUAUGCUCCUCUCUAUGAUUAAAUUACUAAAUGCCUUGUUAAUAAACAUUUGGAGAUUAUCAUAUGAUGUUCUGGUAACCUUAUGUUAUGCUUGUGCUUAUAAGUCAUGUGGUUGGCACUGUUUGUAUUUCGGUUAUGUCAUCAAAUAAUUAAUUCUAGGGUUAAAGGCUGUUCUGGACAGCAAGGGAGUAAUAUAGUCUUUACUUGUUGUUAACUUGGUUUUCUGGGAGGCUUGUCUAAAUCAAAGUUGUUGUAAACUUUAUGGACUAGCUGUGGUUUAAAUUUGGGGUCAUUUGGCCUAGUAGUUUAAAAUUUAUUGCUGUUCCAAGUUGGGUUCCAGAAAUAGGUGCUCUCUGUUUUUCUGGGACAGAACCUGGAACUUUGUUUAAAUGGCUUCUUUAACUUAUGAAUCUUGCUGUGAUGUUCAAAGAUGAUUUGUAGACAAUUUCAUAAGCUUUCCAGAAUGUCCUCACUCACGUUUGUUGGAUCUGCCUAGCACUAGUUAUGAUAUGUUUACUGAGCUAAACCUGCUAUAUGAUGCUUGCUGUUUUAGGUUAUCAUGAUAGGUUUUGGGCUUAGUUGACUUACUACCUCGUGUGAACUUGUUAUAACUGUGUUACUCUGUAAAUGAGUGUCCAGUGAGUCCAUUAUGUUAUCAAGCAUUCAUCUUUAGCAUGUCCACCUUCUUAUUCAUCGAGCAUGCAAUAGGUGCAUCGGACGCGACCGCCUCCUACGAGCUUCAAGUGAACCCCGAAGGCCAGGAGGGCAACCCGGAGGCGGAGGUCCAGCAAGUCGGACUCGAGGAGCCCGAAGAAGAAGUUGAGUGCCCGAGUCACGAGCCAGCCUCGUUCGUGAAAGGCAAGCCCCGGAGCAUUCUAAGUCUCCCUUUACUUUCGAAAGUUUACUUAAUAUGUUAUAUCUAUUGCUGCAUUAAGUAUAGGAGUUGUGAUGACACCCUUGCUGCAUUUUACUCCAUCCUUGUCCAGAUAACUCACCACACCUUGGUUAUAGGGUUAGGAUCGAGUAGCAGCUUAGCCAUGCUUAAUCGGUAGAAGUCGGGUGAUUUCUUGUCACCUGCGCGAUAUAGGGUUGUGUCGGAUCACGAUGGUCUAUAUGUGCUAUCGUGGAUGGAACCUGGUUAAAAAUGAUUUAAGCCGGGCGGAGUUUUGCAAGGUUGUAGUAACUCCGUCUGUGGCAGCUAAGGACCGACCGUUGUACGUCCUCUUGUCAUGUUGAACGCAUGCCUAACACUUAGUUGGCCGGAUAACUCAUUCCGACCGCGAAGCCGAGUAAUAUGACUCAGGCCGGAAGGUCGAUAAGUAUAAAGUGCGCACUACCGGAGGAAGUGCAGUGUGCGGGGGACCAUUGGCGUAAGCCCAAAGGCAGGUGAGUUAAAAUUCCUGACGUCCCUGGCAGAGUGGUAGCCCUGGGAGUGCGGCGCUUAUCGGAACCGCGAUUCCGGAGUUGUAUCAAAGGUGACCCGUAGGCUCUCCGGCAGGGGAAGCUUGGGUCAGUGAUAGGAAUAACCCUCCAGCUGGAUAGGAAUUCGAUUCGAAUCGCCGUCUCUCCCGGUUAGUGAGAACUUGACAGAGCAGCGGCAAACGUAGCAUUCACUAAAGAACUUGGGUUCAUGAUAAUGAUGAUAGCCAGGAAAAGUACAUGAUGAACUGGAUAUGGUUAUUAUUGUUUGUAAUAAUCAAGUGAAGUGCUUUAGUAUAGGUGCUAAUCUAGUAGUAGGCUGAUGAUGAAUAAAUAUGAUGCUCUCACAAUAAUGUAGUUUAUGCAAGCUUUUGGCAAAUAUGAGUCAACCAGCUCCAUUUGAUGUUAGCCUUGCAUGAUCCUUGGUGUCUUUUAUGUUUUACUAGACGGGUAAGUCUAGCUGAGUACAAUCUCGUACUCAGGGUUUAUUCCCACAUGUUGCAGAUGACAUCUUUUAUGACGGCUUCUGCAAGACCUGUCUCCAUCCCGCUGGGGAUGAGGACUAACCGUUGGGCACGGUUCUCUAACAAUCUCGUACCAGUUGCUUUUGGAAGGAUGAUGUAGACUCUGGCAGUAACUCGAACUUAUGAACUGAACUUUGGAAAGUGUGUGUGUAACUAUUUUGCUUCCGCUACUUCGAACAAGUGUUGUAAUAACUUAAUACUCCGAUGUGGUGCCGCUUCGACGGCAAUGAGUGACUAUGUAACAUUCGCUGUGUUGUGCUGAAUUAUUACGAUCUUGGUUUGUUGCAAGUUGGUUUGAAGUCCUUCGUGAUUUCAAUUGACUACCGGGAUUAUAUGGGCUCAAGUUUGGAAACUUGAUUGCUUGUCGAUCGUUUCUACACUUGAACUCUUAUAAUUUGGUCGGUUCUGUGACAAUCGGUUGAGAGCUUUGAUAAGUAUAGAAAAAAAUAAAAAGAGAGUUGCUAGGUGGUAUGAUAAAAAGGUAAAAGCUAAGGAGUUUGCCGAUGGAGAUUUGGUAUGGAAAUUGAUUUUACCGAUUGGGACUAAAAGUUCGAAGUUUGGAAAAUGGUCUCCUAAUUGGGAGGGUCCUUAUCGGAUAAAUCGAUCUGCUCCUGGUAAUGCUUAUAUUUUGGAGACUCUCGAGGGAGUUGAAUUUCCCAGAGCAUUGAAUGGAAAAUAUCUAAAGAGGUAUUACCCAAGCAUCUGGGUCGAUCCAUAAAACUUUAAGUGCCGAUAACACUCCUAUCGGCUGGAUAAAAUGUAUCUGGGGCUGUGCACAAUGUUUCAAAAGGUGCCGAUAAUAGUCCUAUCGGCUAGACUGGAAUGAUUAGAGGUCUCUAAGGGCGGGACGAAGCAAGCCGCCGAUGAGGAUCUUACAGAUUCAACAAAGCUUGAAUGGCCGAUAUGGCGCGUAGGCGAAUCUGGUUAGCUUCUUCUAUCUCCCGGAUGUCUUCAUCGACAGAACCCUCAACCGGCUUCAGCUUCUUCUUCAUCUGCAGCGCCUUACGGGCCUGGAUGUUAUGUUCUUGUUGGAGGGUUUUGAUCAUCUCAGGCAGCUGGCUUUCUUCUUGCUGAGCUUGAGUUAAGGCUUCCCCCACUUGUUUGAGCUCGGCCAGUAGAGUUCCCCUUCUUGCCGAUAGAUCAGAAAUCUUUUGUUUCAGCGUCUCCUCUGAAGACUGUAGAAUGCCGAUGCUCUUAUGUUUCUCAUUGGCAAGGCACUUUACUUGCAUUACUUCCUCUGUGAGUUGGGCAUGAGCAGCUCUGUCGGCAAGACGCUGGGUGGCCUUCUGGUACUGAAGCUGGCGGCUUUCCAAGUGUGCAGCUUGAAACAAGAUUUCUUCUGCAUCGGUCGGGAUCUGGCCUCGAAGGGACUUGAACAGAGCUUUGGCCGGAUCGGAGUCAUCGACCAAUUGGGCAGUGUCUUGGUGCACUAGGGCCAGCAAGUCUUCCAACUUGGCUGUUAUUUCUGCCGAUGAGAUCCCUACGGCUUGGGAGGAGCUUCCUUCUUCACCUUCGUCAUCAGAAAUAUCAAUAGCAAAGGAAAAUAAGCUAUCUGGGGAGUCUUGUUCCUGAAAAUAAAAUAUGAUAAGUUAUUUGAUGAUCAGAUAUUAGUGAUAUAAAGGAUGGAAAUCAGAUAACUUACUUGCUUUAAAGCUAUUUCACGCCUCUGGCUGGUUGAUGCCAUUGGUACCACAGGUUGAUCGACUGGAGUUGCCGAUGGAACAAUGUCAACUGAGAAAUAACAAGAGUGAUUAUAAUUUGAGAAAAAUAAAUCGAUCAGUAAUAAUUUUGUGGUCGAUACUUUACCUUGAGGGGGUGCAGUGCUUGUCUAUUCUGGAGGAGCAACCGAUGAUAUGACCAGAUCUGCUGGAUCAGCAGAUUGCCCAGGCACAUCGGCUGGUGUUUCUUGUGGCUGAGGUGCUGAUUGAGGAGGGGACGGGACUUGCUGUGUCUGGAUUUCUGGUGAAGAGGGGGACGAUUCCACAUGAAUCGGCGACAUUGGACGAUGAGGGGGAGAUGGUGCUGUCUUCUGACGCUUUGGUUGUGAUUUGGUAUUCUUGGGACCUUUCCUUUUGACUUGGCUGGACUGAGGGGCAUCGUCACCUGUUUGAGCACUUUUGGUUCUUGCCGAUUUGCCAGUCUGCUGAUACAACAACAAAUGUUUCAGAGUACAAAUGUAACAGAAUAUUGAUGAAAUUUUGUUGAACAGUAUAGAAUGGAAUUGGUAUAGAUUGAGGAAGUCAAAAAUCUACCUUGAAAGCUUGUGCAAAGUUAGCAGCGGCAACCAUUGGAGAUGUCUUUGACCGCUAGGUAGUUAUCUUCUUAAAGCGCACAUUCCGGUGCAUUAGAGCUGCCAGGCUUGGUGCGUUGUUGCUGAUGAGAGAAAUUGGACCUGACGGGAGGAGUUCAAUCAGUUGUCCACUUCUGCUGACUGUUGGUGGCAAGUUGUCGACCUGUUUGGAAAAGAGAAAGUGAGUUACCGAUAAGGGUAAAAGUAACAAAAUAAUUGAGGUAUCGGUUGGGAACUUACAGUGUUUUCAGGAACCUUAUACUUGGGGUCGAUCAUGCUGCGGUAUGUCAGAGCCGAUGUGGAGAACUGGUGUUUCUUCCACUCUUCCCACCACUGCUUGUACACCUGAGUGAUGAAAAGGGUGGGCAUCCAUAACGAUAAAUCGAUAUCCGACGUAUCGGCAUUUGGUUGAAGCUGAGCUAUUCUUAUCCACUCAAGACCGCUGGUUAUAGUCUCCCUUGGCUUCACCAUAUCGGCAUAGCAGAGUCCAAUCGGUAGCUGUCCAAAAGCCAGUUAACGAGCCAGUGCCGAUGGGUUAUAGAAUUCAUAGGUGGGGUUGGAAGUCUUCCCACUGCCAAAGAAAUUCACUGGUAUGGUUCUUUAGGUAAUAAUUGCCAUCAUCAGGUCGUGGUCCUUAUUGAGGGCGUCAUCAAAAGGGUGAAAAGUGAGCGGGAAUCUGGUUUCUGGAUCCUCGUAAGGCAUCCAUGCCCGCUGAUCUUUGGCAAGAUCCUCAUAGAGAGUUUGGAAGAAUCGGCUGACCUGGUCUUCGUUGCCACCAGUACCAGGUAACAUUAUGGCAGCCUCACCAUAGUUCAAAGGUGGGCGGGUUGCUGAUUCUUCAUCAGCCAAUUCAUGAUCUUCGGCGAUAUCUCUAGGAAAGCGCUGUGCGAAAAGGUCAAAUCCAAGGCGUUUGUGCAUAUGAACACUAAGCCACACGUUGAUGAACCACCAGGGUCCUCCUAAGUUGCCGAUGGGUUGGCCUAACAAAAGCUUCUCGGCUACUUGAUGAAGGAGAUGAUAAACAGAGCCUAACAAGUAUCGGCCAAGGGGAAAACGACCACCGUCGGCUAGUUUCUCUGCUGCCGAUAGAUAAACAGAAGUUGGUCCUAUUGAUCGGCCGCAAAAUACAAAUUUAUUUAGCCACAUAUUCAGAAAGAUGGCGUGUUCCCUUUGCCCAACUGGUCCUAUUUUUCGGUAUUUCUGAAUGUACCCUGACCAGCCACCGAUGCUACGAGUUUCCACCUUACGUUCAGGCUUACUAUCGAACAUGUGGCUAUCAUCGGCAGUUGCUAUUUCCAGACCAGUGAGCAUAAGCACAUCGGCAAGGGUAGGAGAGGCAAGGCCAUGGCCGAAUACAAAAGCAUUAAGGGUGUCUGACUAGAAGUACGAAGCUGCUAUCAAUAAUGAUUCGUUUCUUUCCAUAUCGGCAAUGGAUAGCCUAAUGCACUGGUCCAGUUUGCACUCACCCCAUUGAACCUCAUUCGAGUUGCCGAUUCUCAGGAACCAAUCUUUCCACCCCUUGGUAGAACUGGGCCUGGAACGAAAAGUGUCUUUCCACAGAUCUAAAGAGAAGUUCGCAGCUCUAAAGGGGAUCCUAUUUGUCUCUGCAUUUAUCAAAUCGAUACGAUCUGGGUUUCCCAAUGGACCAAGGCAUUGGAAGUGGGGUUGAUCGGUGGGAAUAACAAUUUUCUCAGCCAACUCCUAAAGGUUUGAAGGUUGAAAAGACAGGGGAAAGAAAGAAAGAAAAUACCAAGUAAAUAAUUGUGCGAAAGAUCAAGAAUAUGGUAAAAAGAAGAAAGGGGAUGUUGAGUUGACCUUAGGGACGAUGAAGUUGAUGGCCAUUUCUUCCGGAGAGGAGGAAAGGAUCGAAGACUCGGAAGAUUGUUGGAGGAGAUCCUUGCCGGAGUUCUUGAAGUUCUCGAACAGUGCCGCCGCUAGGGAGGUAGGUUUGAGGCUGUAGAAUGACAGGAUGGAAGAAGAGUACUGGAGAAGGAUGUAUUUAUAGGACAAAGAGGGCAGGGGCAAAUCUGACUUAUCUUUUCACCGCAUCCGUGAAAUUCGAGGGUGUUCAGGUGGAUAUGGUAACUAUUCACACGGUAAUCAAUGGAUUGCGUAGGUGAUUUGACAGCAAGCGGUCAUGAUUUUGGAGAUAUCUUACUGUGCAAGAUCUCCUAGUCGGCUCAUCGGCAGUCUUCUCUAACAGAAAUAUUACCGAUGAACGUAUGUUUGGGAGAUUCGGUUCGAGAAGUUGAGAGAUUCGAGGAGCAUGUAGGAGAACCGGGCUAAGGUUGUUUGGAUUUGUUAAUUAAUUACUGACAAAAAGAGGUAAUUGCGGAAAGGCAUCAUUACUGAGGAGAAUUUCGAAGCAUUAAUGAUUCUAUACUCCAAAAUUGGGGGGCAUGUGUUGACACCAUUUUUGGACACGUAUCUUUGGGCGCGUAUCUGGAGUUAAUGAGGUGUAGAUCGGCAGACUGAAAAGUGGUGACUAGUCUACAAAAGAGUUGCCGAUGAGGGUUGGUGCCGAUGAGAAAACGACAGGAUAUGGCCAAGUCCAGGAGUGGUGAUGGAUUCGUGCCGAUGACUGGUGGUGAUGGUUGCCGAUGGCUAUGAGAGGUGGUUUGCCGAUGGUCAUGGAGAAGGGCGCAGGGGUUGUCGAUCGACUCAUGGCGGUGUACCGAUCGGUUGUGGAAGAUGAUUUAAUGCUUUCCAUAGUUAUUAGAGUUUGUUUUGUAUACGGAUUCUGUUUAAUUUAGAAUUCGAGUCCUAGUCGUGUCUGAUUAUAACCCUUUUGGGUAGGGUAUAAAUAUAAGACCCUGUAGCGAUGUAAUAGACGACAAUCAAUCAAACACAAGUUUUUACAUCUAUUCCAGCAUCUACUUUUUCGACGACUUCAUCAAUUUGCAUAUUUUCCUUUUACUACGAGUUCUUUGGAAUUCUUCGAGUCAACCUUGGCGAGUUCUCGAGUUCCGCGUGAAUACCUUUUGGCCGUGACAUCCAAGCUGUUGUCGGGACCAAAGUAUUUGAGUUAUCACCUUUGUCGAUUGUAUGGUCAAAUCGGGUGGCACGACUUAACGUUGAAUCGGGUAUUAGCCCUUUGUGUUUGCAGAUCCACUUUUGCACCAACACCUUGUAUGACUCUCUCUAGUCUCUCUUUUGUGGUAAGCUUGGAUCAUUACCAAGGUAGUAAUGGUGUAUGUCUUCUCUCAAAGUAUGUGGUAUUUUUGGUAUGAGGCAUAGUGGCAUUGCCUUCUCUCUCACCCUACUCUAAUAAGGUUUUGAUAUCUAGAGCUCAUAGGUGGGAGACAGCUAAUACAUACUUACAAGACAUUUAUUGCAUAGUCAAACCAUGGAUCCAGAAGAACAAGUCAAUAAGUCAAAUCAAGAUGUGCAUGUGUGGCGAAUGAAUGGUGAUAAUGGUGAAAAUAAUGGUGAAAGUCUAAUUCUACUUUUGCUCUUUUGAGGGGGCACAUACCUUCCCUGCACUUGAGGAUUUUGAGGGGAAUGAGAUGCUCUAUAUUUUAUUUUUCUUUUCUCUCAGGUGGGUAUCUUGUACCCCUAAUUCUACUAUCGGACACUUGUCCAUUUUUACCCCUCGUCUCACUUUUUCUCUUUUUUUUUCUCGAGGUUUUGGGCACUUGCCCCUUUUUAUUUCCUCAUAUUCACUUUUUAGAGCAUGUAUGAGUGAACGUGCAAGUGAAUCUUGAUUUUAUCCACAUGACAAGCUCCUAAGGGUCUACACAGCUUGACCACACUCAAUGCUCAUAAGCAGUAAAAAGUAAAUGUAUGGUUCAUAGUCUAAUAAGCAUGUAUAUAUGGCUGUGGUAGGAUUUUAAACUCUCAUCAUACAGGAAUUCAUCAUGCAACAUUUUAAAGAUUUUCAAAGAUAAAAUUCUCCAGAAUUCUAGCAUCUCUAGGAACAGAUAAACAGUCGCUCAAUCUUCCCAUAUCAUAUCCGUUAACGACUUAUACUUUAGAUGAAGUACUCUUCCCACAAGUUCAGGUUUAGAGUAAAUCUUAAUUAAUAACAGUCAUGCGUAAACUUGAGAGAGAUUUCAAUUUUGAGAACUAGUCAUGGCAGAGCAACUAUUCAUCAUUUCCUUGUGAGAGCUUAUCAUGAGGGUUCAUAGCAAACUUUAUUUAUUUAUUUAUUUAGCAAACUAAGCAAAGAUAAAUAAAUAAGCACAAAAUCUUUAGUUGGGUUUUUAUGAUUAUGCAUCUUUUUAUUAUUUGAGUAAAGUAUAAACGUGAGUAGAACACUUAGCUGGAUAAAUGGGGGUGCUCUCCCCCAAACUGGAUUUUGGCAUAAUUUCUUCUAAUAUAGCUAGCAGGUGGCGGAGGUGUAUUUGAAUGUUGGCAGCACCCUGACAGCGAUUAGGAUGUCCUCCGUCUGCUAGUCUUCUUUGAUCCUUGAAUUCUGUGGAGCUCAAAUAGACAACAAAGCUUUGUGGAACUGGUUAAGUGUUAGCAUAAAAUCUAUUAACUGUUAUCAUGUUGAACUUCCUCUAAUAAAUAUUACUCUCUUUGGUAGGAUCAUAAAUUUAUUUUUAUAUUUUCAUUUUUAUAGGAUAGGAAUAUAUUUAUUUUAUUUUUAUGCCACCACAGUGAAUGUAGUUAUGGGUUUUAUGCCAUGAGCAUAUUCACAUGGGGCUUACUUUUUUUAGCAGUUUUAUUUUCUUUUCAAGAUAGCAUGAUUAACUAACAAGCCAUUUAAGGAAAGUAAAUAAUUUAAGGGAAAAGGGAAUGCUGAAAGGAUAAAAAUGGAUAACUACCGAUUUUACCUUUCGGCGAGGGUUCAAUGUUUUAAGUCUUCUGAACACGACUUCUCACCGUGUUCAUUCUUUAGGUGCGUCAUUUGAUUUAGGUGUGGACCUUGACGUCUGCACCUCUUGAUACGGUGUCACCCAUGUUCUUCGUUUGCCCAGCAGUUCAAAGUGCGGCGUUGACAGCAUCCUUCUCAGUAUGUUUGUACUCGUAAAUCCAGGUCCUUCACUUGGUGGAGUCUGGGAGUUGUAAAACUCCUCCAUAUUUUGCUCGAAGUGUACCUGCUCAUAGAGACAAGGCAGAGAUCAAGUGCAUGGGCCCUGUUGGUGGAAAGCACCAACAGAACCAAAAGUGUAUUUGUUCUUCUCUAACCUUAAGCAUAGUGAGCAAGACAAAGUUAAUGGAUAAUAAGAUCAUGAGUGUAGCAUUUAAAACAUUUGUCAGAUCAGAUCGCUCAACCUAAUGGAAAGAUAAUCUAUCUAUAUUUAUGUUGUGUUUUUUUAUAUAUCUUCCAAAGAUUGAGUGUGCAACAUUUUAGCUCAUAUGAUUAGGAGUGUGGGAUCAAAACGGUGG